rnacentral:lncRNA from 1 species
AUUAAUGCAAACUGGUACGUCAUUCUAUUGUUAAGUCUGAGCAGAGUUCGAACUAUUCGCAAAAAAAAAAAAUCUCGUUGUUUUCAAAAAUACUUCACCGACGUGCUUCAGUAUGAGAUAUUUUCUUCAUAUGCAUGUGAAUUUAUACAGCUGGAUAACUUGGUGUAUUAAUUAAAACAGGAAUCAUUAAUUUAGAAUAAUAUAUAACAGAAUACAUCAUUUUACUUUGUUUAAUUAUUCUACCUAUGCAAAAAAAAAAAAAGGAAGUCCAAGAAUAAAAUAUACAAAAAAGAGAAACGGCAAAUGAUUUUUAUCUGACUAUAAUUGGAAAUCGAUAUAGAAUUUAACGAAAAUCACACCAGUUGAAACCGACUCGAUGUUGCCUAAAAUGGACGUAUUUCAACCGGAAAUGGAAUGGAAAACGCGUCAAUAUUAUCAGUCUGCUGAGGUUUCUGUGGACCAAUAAACCGUGCUGCAUCUGGACCGGUUAUGUCGAUCUGUACAGUGUCGAACUCAUCAGACAUAUCCUGCGACUAUGGAUGCUGUGGGACUGCAGACAACAGGGUCUGUUGUGAAUUUACAUUAUCGGACAGCAUUAUCAUUGUUAUCUGUGUCGUAGGGGCGCUUGUUGUAGUCGCAAUCGUGGUGGCGCUUAUUAUCUGUUUGACCAGCAAACAGAAAAACAGGGUGAUGCAAAUAAGGCCACGACAGCGCAGAGAACAUGUCGGAAAAUUUAGAACCACGUGGUAGGCGGGUUGAUAUUCCGAAACCGCCUCCUUAUUCCGAGGCCCCUCCACAAUAUGAUUCUUUACAUGUUUCCGAUGACUCAAGGUCAAAUCCAAGGUCAACCGAUCCAAUUUUGCCAGGGGUAUACGACCAGUAAUACUCGAGGCGGCGCUAGAAGACAGCAUGCGAGCAGACGACAUAAUCAACAAGCAGAAGAGCGGCGUUCGAACCGAACUGAACCUUCGGACGCGCCACCUUCAUAUAUAAGUAUUAUUCAGGUACAAUCGAGUGAUAAUGCAAAUGAUAGACACCAUUCAUCCAGAGCCCGGAACUUCCGGUAUGGGAAACAAUACUGUUGGUAGAUUAAGUAAUAAUAAUGCGACUCCACUGUCCGUUACGGAUCAAACCCGCAAUGUACUCUCCGCACCCAAGCUUAGCUAGCGGAAGAAUAUCCAUGUUUAAUAGACAAAAUGAAAAUAGGUCUCUUCAUAGAACUGUCAGUGAAAGAAGUCGUCAAUGGUCACCGCAUCCUGCUGCCGGCAGACGACUGCUCGGAAAGGGCAAUACCUCUGUCACACCUGUUACAAUACGGGAGAUAAGUGUUCAUAGUCACUCAAAACAAAAUCAAACCACCGGAAAUGGCAUCAGUACUGGGAAAGGAACCAAUAUCAAAAGAAGUAAUGUUCAAACGAAAAUUCCACGUCCUGUAAAACAAAAGAAAACGCUACAGAAAGAUACAAACUCAAAUGCAGUUUCAAAUGUUACAGCUGGAUUACUUCCUGGCGCGUUGGAAGAUGAGAAUGGACCUACUGGGUUUAGGAGAUUCUACCGCCUCCAAUGAACACAUCUGCUGCUGCAAGAAGUGCACAGAGGCACACAGUUCUCCAAAGAUUGCAACAAAGAAGACAUAUGAUCUCCCCGCCCCCUGUGCAAUGAUUGACAUCUAAGGCAAAACCACAUGAUCGGUAUCAAACACUUUAAUGAUGCACUGGCAAGUGUAUAAUUCUUGAUAUCAAGGUGGAUAAUGCGACUGCGAUACAAAGAACUGAAUCACUGCAUUUAUUGCCUCCCUUAUAUUACAAUUUUAAUACGUGCAAACCUACUGAAUUUUAGAAAGCCCGUAAACAUCGAACCAUGCACCAGCACGCGGGAAAAGUUGUAAUUACCAAACUACCAAUCCAGCUGACCAGUUCAUAGAAGUAGGAGCAGGGAGGAGAAAGCAUAAGCUGCCCCCCUCCCCCACUCACACACACGUUUGGCCUUAAAAUCUUAUUUUCACUGAAUAGCAAUAAAUGGCGGUUAAACGCUAUUAGGUUACUGCUUGUUUUUACAAUAGUAUUAAUUAAAGUAUAUGGCUGAAAAACUUUUAUUUUGAUACAAAUGUACAAAAAAAAUUUUUUCGUGGAAAAUUUGAUAGCUUUUGCAGGUUUUGUACUCCCCCAUCCCUCAUUCCUGCCUCCCAGUUCGUUCAACUUUGAAAUAACUCCCACGUCAGUGCAUUGUGAAGUGUACUAAGUGCACAGGAAUGCUGUUCAACAGGUCAUUCACGCUGAAAUAUUUGUUGAUAUAUGGUCCGGUCACGUAACUGUUGUCAAUUAUUGUCAAAUGAACAAAUUUAAAGUUGAUAUGUUUUUAAUUGUUGUUAAUAUAUUUUAUCAGUAUUAAAGUGUUUUCUUUUUAUAAAAGAGGGUCACAAGUGCCAUCGUUAUUAUCAUCACCAUUAUCAUCAUCAUUGUGAUCAUCAUCAUCAUCAACAUCAUUACCUAAAUAAAAGCAGUGACAAUCGUAUACAAACUGUUUGUCC